UAUAGAGUAUAAAAUUUUCACCUAAGCACUAUGACUAUAAAGUUAAAACUUAAACUACAUGGCGGCAGCUAGAAAUUUCAGGGGAACUUGCCAGAUAAAUGAUAAUCCUCAAAUUAACUCUACUCUUAUUAAAAGUUUGUAUAUCGCCGUCUUCAGUAUUCAUUUUAGAUGAAUUCAUAAUGUUUCAAAACAAAAAGACAGGUUCUGAUGCAGCCAAUAUAAGAGUCCAGAGGUGAGUUACAAUGAAUAAUAAUUUUAGAUUUUCUUUGAAAACAAAGUUAUGAAAAUGGACUUGAAAGUAACAAUUAUAAUAUACAUUAAUUGAAUUAAAAAUCUAGCUGUGCACACACCGCCCGUCACCC
rnacentral:rRNA from 1 species